rnacentral:rRNA from 1 species
AACGAACGCUGGCGGCAGGCUUAACACAUGCAAGUCGAACGCCCCGCAAGGGGAGUGGCAGACGGGUGAGUAACGCGUGGGAAUCUACCUAGUUCUACGGAACAACACAGGGAAACUUGUGCUAAUACCGUAUACGCCCUACGGGGGAAAGAUUUAUCGGAAUUAGAUGAGCCCGCGUAAGAUUAGCUAGUUGGUGAGGU